rnacentral:rRNA from 1 species
AGCUCCAAUAGCAUAUACUAACGUUGUUGCAGUUAAAAAGCUCGUAGUUGGAUUUCUGGUUGAUGGCGGUUAGGUGGAGCCUCGUUGUUCCACCUAUCGUACAUUGAUCAAAAUUUGUCACUAAUCUCUUUCGUGUCAUUCGCUUGACACAGGAGACAAAUGACUCGUUUACUUUGAGAAAAUUAGAGUGUUCAAAGCAGGCAAUCGCCUUGAAUAUGUUAGCAUGGAAUAAUAACAUAGGACUUUAGUUCUAUUUGUUGGUUGUUUCAGAACUGGAGUAAUGAUUGAUAGGGACGGUUGGGGGCAUCCGUAUUCUCAAGCGAGAGGUGAAAUUCUUGGACCUUGGGAAGACGAACAGAUGCGAAAGCGUUUGCCAAGGACGUUCUCUUAAUCAAGAAC